AACGAACGCUGGCGGCAGGCCUAACACAUGCAAGUCGAGCGAGGACUUCGGUCCUAGCGGCGGACGGGUGAGUAACGCGUGGGAACGUGCCCUUUGCUACGGAAUAGCCCCGGGAAACUGGGAGGAAUACCGUAUGUGCUCGCGAGGGGAAAGAUUUAUCGGCAAAGGAGCGGCCCGCGUUGGAUUAGGUAGUUGGUGGGGUAAAGGCCUACCAAGCCGACGAUCCAUAGCUGGUUUGAGAGGAUGAUCAGCCACACUGGGACUGAGACACGGCCCAGACUCCUACGGGAGGCAGCAGUGGGGAAUCUUAGACAAUGGGCGCAAGCCUGAUCUAGCCAUGCCGCGUGAGCGAUGAAGGCCUUAGGGUUGUAAAGCUCUUUCAGUGGGGAAGAUAAUGACGGUACCCACAGAAGAAGCCCCGGCUAACUCCGUGCCAGCAGCCGCCGUAAAAC
rnacentral:rRNA from 1 species